ACGGUCACAAGAUGCAGUAA
rnacentral:siRNA from 1 species